AUGACUUUAUAUCCUCAGGAGGAGGAGAGGAGGACUUUAUAUCAUCAGGAGGCGGAGAGGAGGACUUAUAUCAUCAGGAGGAGGAGAGGAGGACUUUAUAUCCUCAGGAGGAGGAGAGGAGGACUUUAUAUCAUCAGGAGGAGGAGAGGAGGACUUUAUAUCCUCAGGAGGAGGAGAGAAGGACUUUAUAUCAUCAGGAGGAGGAGAGGAGGACUUAUAUCAUCAGGAGGAGGAGAGGAGGACUUUAUAUCAUCAGGAGGAGGAGAGGAUGACUUUAUAUCCUCAGGAGGAGGAGAGGAGGACUUUAUAUCAUCAGGAGGAGGAGAGGAGGACUUUAUAUCAUCAGGAGGAGGAGAGGAUGACUUUAUAUCCUCAGGAGGAGGAGAGGAGGACUUUAUAUCAUCAGGAGGAGGAGAGGGAGGACUUUAUAUCAUCAGGAGGAGAGGAGGAGGACUUUAUAUCAUCAGGAGAGGAGGAGGAGAGGAGGACUUGAUAUCAUCAGGAGGAGGAGAGGAGGACUUUAUAUCAUCAGGAGGAGGAGAGGAGGACUUUAUAUCAUCAGGAGGAGGAGAGGAGGACUUAUAUCAUCAGGAGGAGGAGAGGAGGACUUUAUAUCAUCAGGAGGAGGAGAGGAGGACUUUAUAUCCUCAGGAGGAGGAGAGGAGGACUUUAUAUCCUCAGGAGGAGGAGAGGAGGACUUUAUAUCAUCAGGAGGAGGAGAGGAGGACUUUAUAUCAUCAGGAGGAGGAGAGGAGGACUUUAUAUCAUCAGGAGGAGGAGAGGAGGACUUUAUAUCAUCAGGAGGAGAGGAGGACUUUAUAUCAUCAGGAGGAGAGGAGGACUUUAUAUCAUCAGGAGGAGGAGAGGAGGACUUUAUAUCCUCAGGAGGAGGAGAGGAGGACUUUAUAUCAUCAGGAGGAGAGGAGGACUUUACAUCAUCAGGAGGAGGAGAGGAGGACUUUAUAUCAUCAGGAGGAGGAGAGGAGGACUUUAUAUCAUCAGGAGGAGGAGAGGAGGACUUUAUAUCCUCAGGAGGAGGAGAGGAGGACUUUAUAUCAUCAGGAGGAGGGAGGACUUUAUAUCAUCAGGAGGAGGAGAGGAAGACUUUAUAUCAUCAGGAGGAGGAGAGGAGGACUUUAUAUCAUCAGGAGGAGGAGAGGAGGACUUUAUAUCAUCAGGAGGAGGAGAGGAGGACUUUAUAUCCUCAGGAGGAGGAGAGGAGGACUUUAUAUCAUCAGGAGGAGGAGAGGAGGACUUUAUAUCAUCAGUAGGAAGGAGAGGAGGACUUUAUAUCAUCAGGAGGAGGAGAGGAGGACUUUAUAUCAUCAGGAGGAGGAGAGGAGGACUUUAUAUCAUCAGGAGGAGAGGAGGACUUUAUAUCAUCAGGAGGAGGAGAGGAAGUUAUAUCAUCAGGAGGAGGAGAGGAGGACUUAUAUCAUCAGGGAGGAGGAGAGGAGGACUUUAUAUCCUCAGGAGGAGGAGAGGAGGACUUUAUAUCCUCAGGAGGAGGAGAGGAGGGACUUUAUAUCAUCAGGAGGAGGAGAGGAGGACUUUAUAUCAUCAGGAGGAGGAGAGAGGAGGACUUUAUAUCAUCAGGAGGAGGAGAGGAGGACUUUAUAUCAUCAGGAGGAGGAGAGGAGGACUUUAUAUCCUCAGGAGGAGGAGAGGAGGACUUUAUAUCAUCAGGAGGAGGAGAGGAGGACUUUAUAUCAUCAGGAGGAGGAGAGGAGGACUUUAUAUCAUCAGGAGGAGGAGAGGAGGACUUUUAUAUCAUCAGGAGGAGGAGAGGAGGACUUUAUAUCCUCAGGAGGAGGAGAGGAGGACUUUAUAUCAUCAGGAGGAGGAGAGGAGGACUUUAUAUCAUCAGGAGGAGAGAGGAGGACUUUAUAUCAUCAGGAGGAGGAGAGGAGGACUUUAUAUCAUCAGUAG
ensembl:lncRNA